rnacentral:tmRNA from 1 species
GGGGCCGCAAUGGUUUCGACGGGGAUUUUGAAUCACGCUAAGCAUGCAGAGCCAGUCCCGACUCUUUAAUCCGGGGCAUUUUAAAUUUAAACGCUAAUAAUAGAACAGCAGCUGUAGCUGCCUAAGCGCGCUACCGUCCGUUCUGAGAGAGCUGCGGCUCAGCAUGGGCGUCAAUAAGCAGCCAACGUUUUGUGUGAUAGCCUUGUAGCGCAAAACGUAUCCAAAGGGCUACCAAUCGGUGGUUUUGUCGGAUUGUGCCGUCGUGCGGGAAAUCUUUCAACCGACUAAGCAUGUAGAAAGGUGUGUGGAAGGAUUUUCGGACAGGAGUUCGAUUCUCCUCGGCUCCACCA